rnacentral:rRNA from 2 species
UGCAAGUCGAACGCGUUGGCCCAAUUGAUUGAUGGUGCUUGCACCUGAUUGAUUUUGGUCGCCAACGAGUGGCGGACGGGUGAGUAACACGUAGGUAACCUGCCCAGAAGCGGGGUAACAACAUUUGGAAACAGAUGCUAAUACCGCAUAACAACGUUGUUCGCAUGAACAACGCUUAAAAGAUGGCUUCUCGCUAUCACUUCUGGAUGGACCUGCGGUGCAUUAGCUUGUUGGUGGGGUAAUGGCCUACCAAGGCGAUGAUGCAUAGCCGAGUUGAGAGACUGAUCGGCCACAAUGGGACUGAGACACGGCCCAUACUCCUACGGGAGGCAGCAGUAGGGAAUCUUCCACAAUGGGCGCAAGCCUGAUGGAGCAACACCGCGUGAGUGAAGAAGGGUUUCGGCUCGUAAAGCUCUGUUGUUAAAGAAGAACACGUAUGAGAGUAACUGUUCAUACGUUGACGGUAUUUAACCAGAAAGUCACGGCUAACUACGUGCCAGCAGCCGCGGUAAUACGUAGGUGGCAAGCGUUAUCCGGAUUUAUUGGGCGUAAAGAGAGUGCAGGCGGUUUUCUAAGUCUGAUGUGAAAGCCUUCGGCUUAACCGGAGAAGUGCAUCGGAAACUGGAUAACUUGAGUGCAGAAGAGGGUAGUGGAACUCCAUGUGUAGCGGUGGAAUGCGUAGAUAUAUGGAAGAACACCAGU